rnacentral:rRNA from 1 species
AUGUCGAAGGGAAGAGCCUGGGGCCAGCCCUCGGGUUCCAUUCUGAGGCCUUUCCUGGAUCCAAAAGGGGUACUCGAGCGGCGCGGCGAUAACACUGGAAGUGGCGAUUCCGGCGUGUUUGCCGCCAGGCCGCCCAUAGCCUUGAUUUUAGUGGGAGGGGAUGUGGAUGACACCAUGUCGAAGCCCGUAGUGGGUAUGGCGCGUGAUAGCAGGUCGCUCCCCAUUCUUCUUCCCUUCACGGCGCUAGGGAGCAGUCAAGGAAAAGAGCCGCCGUUAGCAAAGGCAAAUCCGACUCCUCCUGGGCAUCGUCCUCUUGCCGUGCAGGACAGCUCUUUGCUCCUAUACACGUCUUCGGAGCGUGCGAUGGCUUCUGACAUCAGGGCUGCUAGGGACGACCAUGCUCUUUGUGGGGUAACCCAUGGAGCAUGGCGCCCGGCGUGGCUGCAGUGCUAA